rnacentral:rRNA from 1 species
UACGGAGGGUGCAAGCGUUAUCCGGAUUCACUGGGUUUAAAGGGUGCGUAGGUGGGCCCGUAAGUCAGUGGUGAAAUCUCCGAGCUUAACUCGGAAACUGCCAUUGAUACUAUAGGUCUUGAAUUAUCUGGAGGUUAGCGGAAUAUGUCAUGUAGCGGUGAAAUGCUUAGAUAUUACAUGGAAUACCGAUUGCGAAGGCAGGUUACUACCGGUGGAUUGACGCUGAUGGACGAAAGCGUGGGUAGCGAACAGG